AGAGGCUUCGGCAAUGGGGGAAACCCUGACCGAGCGACGCCGCGUGGGGGAUGAAGCUUUUCGGAGUGUAAACCCCUGUUGUCCGGGGGGAAGGCCCUGGUGGUGAACCAGGGCUUGACUGUCCCGGAUGAGGAAGCCCCGGCUAACCCCGUGCCAGCCGCCGCGGUAAUACGGAGGGGGCAAGCGUUAUUCGGAAUCAUUGGGCGUAAAGGGUGCGUAGGCGGCCAGGCAAGUCCGACGUGAAAUCUUCACUGCUCAACAGGAAGAGGCCGUUGGAAACUGCCAGGCUUGAGGACCGGAGAGGUUGACGGAAUUCCCGGUGUAGCGGUGGAAUGCGUAGAUAUCGGGAAGAACACCAGUGGCGAAGGCGGUCAACUGGACGGUUCCUGACGCUGAGGCACGAAAGUGUGGGGAGCGAGC
rnacentral:rRNA from 1 species